rnacentral:rRNA from 1 species
ACUACGGGUGGCAGCAGUGAGGGAUAUUGGUCCAUGGGGGAAACCCUGAACCAGCAACGCCGCGUGAGGGAAGACGGUUUUCGGAUUGUAAACCUCUGUCCUCUGUGAAGAUAAUGACGGUAGCAGAGGAGGAAGCUCCGGCUAACUACGUGCCAGCAGCCGCGGUAAUACGAAGGGAGCGAGCGUUGACCGGAUUUACUGGGUGUAAAGGGUGCGUAGGCGGCCCUGCAAGUCAGAAGUGAAAUCCAUGGGCUUAACCCGUGAACUGCUUGUGAAACUGCAGGAAGUGAGUGGAGUAGAGGUAGGCGGAAUUCCAGGGGUAGCGGGGAAAUGCGUAGAGAUCGGGAGGAACACCAGUGGCGAAGGCGGCCUACUGGGCUUUAACUGCCGCUGAAGCACGAAAGCGUGGGUAGCAAACAGGAUUAGAUACCCGGGUAGUC